AUGCAAUGUCUUUAUUUACAAUAUUCAUCCUGUGCCGCAAUCAUUUUGAUAAGUCAGAACACCUCGUGGUGUGUGUCACAAAUGGAAGAGCAAAUUCAAUCGCAUGGUGGGAAAUGUGUGUAAACAUGCCAUUGGCAGCACAAAACUACAAAUCAGGAGAGUGCUGUAUGAGACAAAAACUAUAAACCAGGAGUCCGCUGUAUGAGACAAACAUUACAAACCAGGAGAGCGCUGAAUGAGACAAAUUGCAAGGCAAAUUCAAUUGCAUGGUGGGGAACUUUUUCAACAAUUAAGGAAUUGCUUAUGUCCAGGUAAAGGAGAAUCUCGGGUCUAUUGGACGACACCUUCCAGUACAGAGGACCCAACUAACCACCUCUGAAGUGCA